rnacentral:lncRNA from 8 species
CCCUCCCUCUGUGUUUAGCUAUCACCAUUUAGGCCUAGAAGAUAACAAUACAUGCAUUAAAAUAUCUCCAAAUUGUCUGUGGACUUGAAAUUGUACGGUUUACAAUAGGCCUACACUAGCCUAGGCUACUGUAAACAGACACCCGUGAACUUUGCCCAGUGCUUGCAGCACUCCAUUGAAAAACGUGAAACUGCAGACAGUGAGCAUGCAUGGUGUUGGUAGCUAGAUAUUCCAUACGUGUGUAUUUUGCAAUAGCCUAUGAUGGCUUACCUUGGUAGCCUACAUAGCUAGCUGCAACUAGCUACUUCAAGUAGCUAAAUCUGCCCAUGCAUUUUAAAUGCACGCUUUAGCUUCCCAUAUUAAAUGCUUUCGCGCCAAUACACUGUAGUUACUCUUUCUUCCAAUGCAAACAUACACGUUCCUAACUUUAGAAAUGCACAUUCAAAUGAUAAAUCCACUAUUUACCACCGCAUUACUAUAGUCGGGGAGAGGGGAAACACAUUGACCCUAUGGUACCACGCAUUACUAGCUCAGUGCACCGCUUGCCAUAACAUUGCUUUUUUCAAUAAUGAACAAAAAGGAUCUCUGAACUGUGCGUUCUGGCAUCUCGUAUAAAGAAAGCAGCAAAGGUGGUCAGUGCCAGCGAACCAUCUGCACUAACCUCUUGCUCUCCCUCGUAAAUGACAAGGCACCUCUAACCUGCGGCUUUGUGUCAUGUUUUCUUAUUCUCUCCAUGCCUGCGAUUUUCAAAGCCAGAGGUGAAUAUAGCUACCUUCGUUCUGGCGGAUACGUGUCGCGGGGUCGCCCUCUACGCUGUCAAAAGACGUAGAUCCAUGCGGGAGAAUGCCGAUUUUGGAGGCCGGCGGGGGUUGCAGUCUGGGCGGGGUCGCCCUCUACGCUGUCAAAAGACGUAGAUCCAUGCGGGAGAAUGCCGAUUUUGGAGGCCGGCGGGGGUUGCAGUCUGGGCGGGCAGGGCAGAACCUUCGACCCUGGGGGACCUCGGCUGGCUCUUGUGGAAACGAGACAGACAGAAGCGGAGAGGGGGAGCAAGAGAGAGAGAGCAGCCUCGAUCUGACAGAGGAGAAGCCGGAGAGCGGUGUAGUGAGAUGGGACUGCCACUGGGGUCAGAGAGAGCAGAGAGAGCACAGCCUCACACGCGGGCUCGAGCACGGGCACAGACAGACAUGUGCGCACUCCCGUUUGUCUCAAACACCCGUGUUCCGCUUCUGCAAGCUGGCUCAAUCUAUUCCAUUUAGUAAGACAGAUAACCACCAUGAACCUGUCAGCAACAUUUCCACGUGGAAAUAUACUUUAUUUCUCUCGCCAUUCGUGGCUUGUCUUUUGGCAUGGAUAUGAUAGGCUUGCCUAAGAGCGGAAGACAGAUUGGAGGUCAUUGUCCC